rnacentral:rRNA from 1 species
ACGCUGGCGGCGUGCCUAAUACAUGCAAGUAGAACGCUGAAGAGAGGAGCUUGCUCUUCUUGGAUGAGUUGCGAACGGGUGAGUAACGCGUUGGUAACCUGCCUUGUAGCGGGGGAUAACUAUUGGAAACGAUAGCUAAUACCGCAUAACAAUGGAUGACACAUGUCAUUUAUUUGAAAGGGGCAAUUGCUCCACUACAAGAUGGACCUGCGUUGUAUUAGCUAGUAGGUGAGGUAACGGCUCACCUAGGCGACGAUACAUAGCCGACCUGAGAGGGUGAUCGGCCACACUGGGACUGAGACACGGCCCAGACUCCUACGGGAGGCAGCAGUGGGGAAUCUUCGGCAAUGGGGGCAACCCUGACCGAGCAACGCCGCGUGAGUGAAGAAGGUUUUCGGAUCGUAAAGCUCUGUUGUAAGUCAAGAACGAGUGUGAGAGUGGAAAGUUCACACUGUGACGGUAGCUUACCAGAAAGGGACGGCUAACUACGUGCCAGCAGCCGCGGUAAUACGUAGGUCCCGAGCGUUGUCCGGAUUUAUUGGGCGUAAAGCGAGCGCAGGCGGUUUGAUAAGUCUGAAGUUAAAGGCUGUGGCUCAACCAUAGUUCGCUUUGGAAACUGUCAAACUUGAGUGCAGAAGGGGAGAGUGGAAUUCCAUGUGUAGCGGUGAAAUGCGUAGAUAUAUGGAGGAACACCGGUGGCGAAAGCGGCUCUCUGGUCUGUAACUGACGCUGAGGCUCGAAAGCGUGGGGAGCGAACAGGAUUAGAUACCCUGGUAGUCCACGCCGUAAACGAUGAGUGCUAGGUGUUGGAUCCUUUCCGGGAUUCAGUGCCGCAGCUAACGCAUUAAGCACUCCGCCUGGGGAGUACGACCGCAAGGUUGAAACUCAAAGGAAUUGACGGGGGCCCGCACAAGCGGUGGAGCAU